UACGUAGGGUGCGAGCGUUAAUCGGAAUUACUGGGCGUAAAGCGUGCGUAGGCGGUUCUCCAAGUCCGUUGUGAAAGCCCCGGGCUCAACCUGGGAAUGGCAGUGGAAACUAGGGGACUGGAAUCUGGCAGAGGGGGGUGGAAUGCCGCGUGUAGCAGUGAAAUGCGUAGAUAUCUGGAGGAACACCGGUGGCGAAGGCGGCAUCCUGGACCAACACUGACGCUGAGUGAGCGAAAGCCAGGGGAGCAAACGGG
rnacentral:rRNA from 1 species